UUCUACAAGAGCAACUGUUUUCAUGAGGGAGCCUGGGAAAUCUAUCAACUAUCAACACUGAAAUGGUUAUCUUCAAACCCCUUGUAGGUAACAGAAUAGGUACAGGGUGAGCAGAGGAGAGAAAGGGGAGGAUGCCACCUGGUCAGCACCAGCACAGGCUGCGGUGAAAGCAGCCUGUCACAGAAUCCAAAAUGCUGUGUCCUGGGAAUCACCACUUUAGUUUUGCUGUGAGGAAACAGAGUUUUACCUGCACUGGCUUUGUACUGUGGAAGGAUUUUGCCCUUGAUUUCUGGGUUUAAAGAGAACCUAUUGGGAAACAGAGCUUCCUAAAUCAAGAGAUAGAUUUUCCUCUUCCCAAAACAUAAUUAGAACCCUGAACGAAAUGUUGUAUGACACCUAACAUUGUAAGAAUAUCUCUUCUGCAAAAUAAUUUUACAAUUAUCAUUUCCUCAGGAUUGCCUAUCAUAUUUAGAAUAAGCUAACCUUAUUCAGAUUUCCUUCACGUACAAAACACAAGAAGCAUGUUUUCUUGAUUCUGAAAGGUCUGAAUGUAUUUGACUCUGGAUUUCUAUGUCUGAGCAGGGAAAUUUAUUAAUUUUUAAGGAUUCUAAGCAAUGGUUUUUGUUACUAUUACAUAAAACUGAGAAUUGUGGGGUUAUUGAUCAUAAAUAUAUAUGUGCAUCAGACUAGAUUAACUGACAAUAACUUGCUGCUCCUGAAAUUAUAUUACUAAAAAUAAUUACAUCCAAAAUGCCAUAAUUUCAUGAAAUGACACAGCAGGUGAAUGGAUUUCUCCUAUUCCUACCGCCUAUGUAAAGAACACUCAUGCUUCCAAAGAGCCACCAGUAACUAGCAAGACCGGGAACUCUUACCUUCCUGGCCUGGCACAUAAAUUGGUGCAUGCAUCAAAGCUUUCUUAUUGAAGAGGAAAAAUGGGGGUGCUGUAGAACAAGCUACAGAUACUGUUAGAAAAGGUAAAAAUCGUCAUCUAAGACUCUUCACCUUUUGCUCCCCCACUUGCAAUUCCCAGAAUACCACCUUGCUUUUUGAUAUCCUGAGUUUCAUUUCACUUUUCUAACAUGACGGAGUUUAGGCACAUUCAAUUUUUUUCUGAUUUUGGAUUUGUAUGAAGUCACUCAAUUCUACUCUUUUUGUUUCCCUUUUUAGUUUACAUAAUAAAAUAACACAUGCUUUUUGCAUUUUUUUUUAAAGCCCAAACAUAACUCUAUAAGGUAAAAAGUAAAAGCACCCUCUUUUCUUCAUCCCAUCUCACUUCCUUCAGGUAGCCACUGUCAAGAGUUUGGGAACAAUGAGGUAUACGUAUGCCUGUACGCAGGUUUUAGUAUGUGCCUACUAUAAAUCUCUUCCACAUUUUCCUUUUUCCACUUCCUAUAUCUUGAUUUUUUCCCCUAGGCAAUGUACCAAAGCAGCUAACAGACACAUUUAUAUUAUUGCGUGUCUCCUUUUCCCUACAAUGAGAUGGCUAAAUCAAGACUUACUGAAUAUCAAAAGCAAAACAAAAACCUGUCAGCCUAAUACUAAAUAUAUCCUUGGUUGUAUUAAUUUUCACACUUGCCUUCGACUUUAAAAAUGGUGAAGACAUAUGGAUAAACACAUACACACUAAUAUAUAUGCACUCUAAAUAUAUACGUUGUCUUACAUAGGUAAAUGUACCUAUGUCAUAUAUGUACGUUGAAAUGAAGUUAAUUUUCAAAGGCAAGAAGCAAAGGAAGGCACCUGUGUAGGUGGUGAGGCUAAAUGGGUCCUGACUAGGUAAGGACAUCAUGGGGAAAUUUUCUGGGCCUUGGAAGCAGAGACACGGGUUGCAAAGAACUCCACCUUAUACUGAUUGUGUGGUUUUGUGCAAGUUCCUUUACCCUUUUGAGCUUCCUUUUUCAUCAUCCACAAAAGUGGGGGAAAGACUUAUCUUACAGAGAUUUAGACACUAAGUGUUUACGAUGGUGUCUUGAACAUAGUAACUGCACAAAAAGUGCCUUCUUGCUCUUAAUAAUCCAGAAACUAUACAUAAUAGAUGGUGAUGCAAUACCUCAUGCCUGUAAACCUUGCUCUUUUGUUUACCUUUGUUUUAGUUUGCCUUCAUGUUUUUAUAUUUACCUCAUUUGUAUAGACACAGAAAUAAAUUACUGUAAACAUG